GUGCUGCUUUGGCAGCACAUAUACUGAAAUUGGAACUAUACAGAGAAGAUUAGCAUGGCCUCUGUGCAAGGAUGAUCUGCAAAUUCAUGAAGUAUUCCAUAUUUUU